GAUGAACGCUGGCGGCGUGCCUAAUACAUGCAAGUCGAGCGAACGGACGAGAAGCUUGCUUCUCUGAUGUUAGCGGCGGACGGGUGAGUAACACGUGGAUAACCUACCUAUAAGACUGGGAUAACUUCGGGAAACCGGAGCUAAUACCGGAUGAUAUUUUGAACCGCAUGGUUCAAAAGUGAAAGACGGUCUUGCUGUCACUUAUAGAUGGAUCCGCGCUGCAUUAGCUAGUUGGUAAGGUAACGGCUUACCAAGGCAACGAUGCAUAGCCGACCUGAGAGGGUGAUCGGCCACACUGGAACUGAGCCACGGUCCAGACUCCUACGGGAGGCAGCAGUAGGGAAUCUUCCGCAAUGGGCGAAAGCCUGACGGAGCAACGCCGCGUGAGUGAUGAAGGUCUUCGGAUCGUAAAACUUUUUUAUUAGGGAAGAACAUAUGUGUAAGUAACUGUGCACAUCUUGACGGUACCUAAUCAAAAAGCCCCGGCUAACUACGU
rnacentral:rRNA from 1 species